GAUGAACGCUAGCGAUAGGCUUAACACAUGCAAGUCGAGGGGCAGCAUAAGAGUAGCAAUACUUUGGUGGCGACCGGCGCACGGGUGAGUAACACGUAUGCAACCUGCCCAUAACUGGGGGAUAACCCGUCGAAAGGCGGCCUAUACCGCAUGACGACGAUGAUCCGCAUGGUGAUUCGUCUAAAGAUUUAUCGGUUAUGGAUGGGCAUGCGUUCCAUUAGAUUGUUGGUAGGGUAACGGCCUACCAAGUCUUCGAUGGAUAGGGGUUCUGAGAGGAAGGUCCCCCACACUGGUACUGAGACACGGACCAGACUCCUACGGGAGGCAGCAGUGAGGAAUAUUGGUCAAUGGGCGAGAGCCUGAACCAGCCAAAUCGCGUGAAGGAUGAAGGUAUUAUGUAUUGUAAACUUCUUUUGUCAGGGAAUAAAGUGCGGCACGUGUGCUGUUUUGUAUGUACCUGAAGAAUAAGGAUCGGCUAACUCCGUGCCAGCAGCCGCGGUAAAAC
rnacentral:rRNA from 1 species